CGAGGUUGGUACGGUUGUUCUUCCUUGUUCCUUACGCCACGGUUGAGGGAGCAACCGGGCCCGGAGGGGGUUGGGGAAGUGGCCCAAACCUGCCAGCCAACCUAGCCCCCGGGUCCAGCCUCCGCCUGAGACACAUCUUGGUCCUCGGCAUUCUACACGUUUCUGCUUCCCCCUCCCCCCAGUUCUGCCGGGAAGUCGGAAUCUCCAGAUCUGCUUCUCUGUAUAGGACUGUCGGUGAUCCGGCUGGAGACCUUGAGGUAAAUCAGCAUCAGUCUAGGGGCUUUGGUGCCCUGACUCGGAUCCCUGGAUUCAAGGAACCUGAAGACCCACAUCACAGCUAUUCCUGUGAACCUGCCCAAGACCUCAAAUACUUAUUCAGGAGGGUGAUCCCCAAGCCAAGUGACAACCGCAUUGAUAAUUUGCUUCCAGGUUGCAACAAUUCCACAUCAAGAUGAUGGUGAUACAGGGAUUCCAGCCAUUCCCUGACAUAGAUCCUACUGGAAUAACAGCAGAAGUCACCCUGGGGCCCCUGGACAAGACAGGGUGAGAGUUCCGUGGCCCCAAUUAGGUAGGGUCCACAAGCCCAGUGCCAGCCUGAAGAAGCUACAGAAGACAGACCUCCACCCCUCAUCCUGCCAAUAAAGAGUUCUUGGGGUCCACGUCACUUGGGAAAUUUGAGGUAAGAGAUAGGUGGCUGAGCAGCUGCAACCAUUCUCCUGCUGACACUUCAAGAUAAGGUACUAGCAGGAGCUUUGGGCCCUGACUGGGUGGAAGACAAAGCGACUACAGUUUCCUCAUUCUUGUGGUCAAGGGGAUUUUCCAGCCCAACACAUCUGUUUCACAGUCUUGGUCUCUUCUGGAUUCUUGGUCUCAUUGGAUUCUUUCCUCAAAGAAGACAUCUGUAAGUCUCUGAAGUGCUUAGCAAUAAAGCAAAGGUGGUAAGUUGAUUGGAGCACACGUGUCUUUAUUUUCAUGCCUGUUUGUACCCCAGAGGAUUCCAUGGGACGACUGGGUCAUCCCUGGGCAGUCUCAGGGGCAGAGCAUGAAAAUGGAAGUUCACGC